UACGGGGGGGGCAAGCGUUGUUCGGAAUUACUGGGCGUAAAGGGCUCGUAGGCGGCCAACUAAGUCAGACGUGAAAUCCCUCGGCUUAACCGGGGAACUGCAUCUGAUACUGGAUGGCUUGAGUUCGGGAGAGGGAUGCGGAAUUCCAGGUGUAGCGGUGAAAUGCGUAGAUAUCUGGAGGAAUACCGAUGGCGAAGGCAGCCCCCUGGGCCAAUACUGACGCUCAUGCACGAAAGCGUGGGGAGCAAACAGG
rnacentral:rRNA from 1 species